GGUUCGGACGGUAUCCCCGGUUUUGUUGAUUUCAUCUAUAAAUCAAUUGUCCCUGCCUGUUUUGUAGCUCCUUUGAAAGAUACUUUUGAUCUGACGGAUGCUCAGACAAUUCUGGCUUUGUCAGAAAGUGCUACGUGUCUAAAAACCAUUCUAGAUAAACGAGGGGACGAAUUUGUAAAUUAUCUGCAAAGUCAAUAUCUUCCGACUCUCAGAGUCUCGCCACAACAGAUUCAUGAAUAUUGUCAGGCUUUAAAAUCAGAUACAAAAGUUUUUAAAAAUUAUUUAAAGCUUUUUUUCCAACAAGCAAAAUCAUAGCAAAUUGUAAAUAUAUAAAUAAACAAUAUAUAUAUUAUGAAAUUGUACAGGUUUUAUCUGUAAGAUGACGUGCCUGAAUCGAGCAAAUGUUAAUGUGAACCGCUGUCGACAUUCCUCUGCGGGAAACAAAAUGUGGUAUUUUGUAAAUACAGAAAUUGAUUUUCUUCGAGCCCAAAUCGCAAGUCUAUGAAAAUCAGGCAACCAAAGAAAGUUUAAGGUUGGCCGGAGAGCUUCCGAUCCGGCGUGCCGCACUUCCAGAAGAGUUUGUUGGAAACACGCUUCUCGCAACUAUAGUGUGUUCCAAUAAAAUUGUCUGAUAAAAAAAUAUAAUGUGCAAAUAACUAAAUAAAUUGUGCAAAAUGCCUUGAUAACAUACAAGUUGUUGCUGUGUAUAAAAAUUCUGUUGAAAUUUUUUGUGUCGACAGCCACAGAAUCGCCAAGAAGUUCGUUGAUAAAUGCAUUAAUUUUUUCUAAUGUUCUCACAGCAGAAUACCACACUGUUCAUCCAAGAACCCCAACGGGUGGCCACUAGACUGGGUGUCCCAGUGAUCGUGGCAGCCCAGUUACAUGUUGGUACAAGUGCUUCCAACUAGGGCAUUUGAGAAGAAUCAUUUUCAUUUUCAAAAUUAAGUCAUUAGUCUUGCUCAAUUCUACAUGAAUACGUUCACAUACUUGGUGUAGGGCAGG